UAUAAAUACAACCAUAAGUUUCCACGUCCAACUUUGAUCGUUCGUCUUAUUUGAAAGUUUUUUAUAAUUAAUAUUUUUAUUGUUAUGAGAUGAUAAAAUAUAAAUAGUACUUUACUCGUGACUUAUGUUUUUAAAUUUUUUCAAAUAAGACGGACGGUUAAAGUUGGGCGCGGAAAACCAUGGCUGCACUUAUA
rfam:Oryza glaberrima chromosome 10 Oglab10_0043_2, whole genome shotgun sequence.